rnacentral:rRNA from 1 species
ACAGCAGUCGCCGCCACGGGAAUACGGAAGGUCCAGGCGUUAUCCGGAUUUAUUGGGUUUAAAGGGAGCGUAGGCUGGAGAUUAAGUGUGUUGUGAAAUGUAGACGCUCAACGUCUGACUUGCAGCGCAUACUGGUUUCCUUGAGUACGCACAACGUUGGCGGAAUUCGUCGUGUAGCGGUGAAAUGCUUAGAUAUGACGAAGAACUCCGAUUGCGAAGGCAGCUGACGGGAGCGCAACUGACGCUUAAGCUCGAAGGUGCGGGUAUCAAACAGGAUUAGAUACCCGUGUAGUCCCUGUCUCUUU